UGUUUCUGUCUGCUUCUUUUC
rnacentral:piRNA from 1 species